AGGGGGUUUUGAUCAUGGGCUCAGAUUGAACGCUGGCGGCACGCUUAACACAUGCAAGUCGAACGGCAGCAGCAUUGAGCUUGCUCAAUGGCUGGCGAGUGGCGGACGGGUGAGUAACGCGUAGGAAUCUGUCUAAGAGAGUGGGAUAACCCGGGGAAACUCGGACUAAUACUGCAUAUCAUCUACGGAUGAAAGGGGGGCCUCUGAUAUAAGCUCUCGCUCUUUGGUGAGCCUGCGUCAGAUUAGCUAGUUGGUGGGGUAAAGGCCUACCAAGGCAACGAUCUGUAGCUGGUCUGAGAGGACGAACAGCCACACUGGGACUGAGACACGGCCCAGACUCCUACGGGAGGCAGCAGUGGGGAAUAUUGGACAAUGGGGGCAACCCUGAUCCAGCGAUGCCGCGUGUGUGAAGAAGGCCUGCGGGUUGUAAAGCACUUUAGUUGGGGAGGAAAAGCGCAUUGUGAAUAAUGAUGCGUGUUGACGUUACCCAAAGAAUAAGCACCGGCUAACUCUGUGCCAGCAGCCGCGGUAAUACAGAGGGUGCAAGCGUUAAUCGGAAUUACUGGGCGUAAAGGGCGUGUAGGCGGACAUUUAAGUUAGAUGUGAAAGACCUGGGCUUAACCUGGGAUUUGCAUUUNAAACUGGAUGUCUAGAGUCGAGUAGAGGGAAGUGGAAUUUCCGGUGCAGCGGUGAAAUGCGUAGAUAUCGGAAGGAACACCAGUGGCGAAGGCGACUCCUGGAUUCAGACUGA
rnacentral:rRNA from 1 species